UCUGUUAUUGUUACUAGCGAUAGCGAUUAUAAACAGAUCAAGGCUAGAGUUCUCCCUGAUGUUAUAUCGCGACAUUUGUAAACAUAUUUUUAAACAGGUGUCUUAUUUCUGAGGAUGGCGGUAGAUGUGUUGAUAAGGUGUUCUGUGACCUGUAUGAAUGUGGAAAUCACACAUACGAAUACGUCAUGCAUGAUGCACGGUUCAGUCUUUGGAGAGGGGAUUUGACGGAGGCUACGGCGCAAUAAGCUUGUUUCUUUAUCCUUGCAUCGAGGCCGUGACUCCCGGCUUUGCCGCGCGGGGGAGAAUUGCGGAAAAUUAUAGGUGUGAGUGUCUCCCAUACAACAACCUUAGAUCUAUUAUCGUACAUCGCGGUUAAACGACCUUUCAACCAGCUCUCUGCAGUCAGUUGCUACUUGGAGAUGACAAAUUUCGUAAUAAUCCCACGAAACUGAAGCUAUUGCUGGAUUAAGAAAAACUAUUAUCUAGCAGUUGCGAGCGACAAGGAACUCGUUUGAGGAUGUUUAAGUUUUUUUUAUUUGAAUUUUUGUAUCUUCCACCUCUCUUACGGACACGAAGCUCCGUUAAUUGAGAUCACGAUUCCGUAAGUCAAAUUUAUACAGUGGAGCGAACAUUAUAUAGUAUAAAGUAUACCUACACCUACGUUGCAGUAUUGAAUGCGUUUUUUUCAGCCGAAUUAUGUUUUUUGAAAGUUCAGAGCUAAAAAUAUUAUCUCUAAAACAUAAUAUACUAUCCUAUAGUAUAUUAACUGUAAUAUUGAUACAACGUUAUCACUAAAUAUAGCUAUCUGUGAGAAAUGCGGAUUAUAAGAUAUUGAGUAAGUAUAAUAGUAUAUAUAGGUAAGUAAAUUAUUAGUGUAAUUAACGAAUAUUUCGAAUUUCAGAGAUCGACAACAUGGCCAAUCGCUGCGAGUAAGUUAACCGGUUCUUUAAACGCGUUUGAUGAUUAGCUGAUUACGAAAAUUUUGCGUUUCUUCUUUUUUUUUUUUUUUGUUUUUAUUUAAUGAUCGAUGAAGUAAACGUUUCUACGGCCCGUUAACUGCACGCAACGAUCUU